GUUGGAUGUGGUGGCUCAUGCCUGUAAUCCCAGCAACUUGGGAGGCUGAGGCAGGAGGAUUUCAAGUUCAAGAACCCCAUCUGCAAUUUAGGGAGACCCUGUCUCAA
rnacentral:sRNA from 1 species